rnacentral:lncRNA from 1 species
GGGGAUGCUAGCUCCUGGCAGCCUGUGUGCUUGUCGCUUCACAUGUUAUUUGUCAUUCCUUUUACACUGAAUAGUCCUUAACCAAGUAACUCAAUGAAACAGGUGCUCUCAGGGUGCACAUAGAAAAAAAAAAUAUGAGAGAGAGAGAGAGAAUUAGGGUUAUUCAGCUCUCUUACAUUUUUACCAGUAUUUCAUCAUUUGCUAUGAUCCUGAAACAUGAGGAAAAAUUCCAGUGUUUAUUCCAAACCCUUUUAAAGAAACAGGUCAACAAAACCAGACUACAAAAAGGCAGAACCCUUGGACUUUUAAACUGAUGUUAAACCUUUCCCGUCAGGGCAAGCUCAAUUUUAUAAUUCCUAUAGCUAUCAUAUUAUGGUGUCUGAUGAGACCUGCAGUUUGGCUUGAUUAUUGUAUUCACUAUGAACCAAGCUUUCCUCAUACAUUUCCCAUCUUGCCUCACAUGGUGUGGUCAGGGGAGAGUUUGCAGCCCUCAGAGGAUGCACAGAUCAGACAGGAGACCUGUGAGCAGACUGCCUGGCCACAGUUUCCAUAAAAGCAGUGCAGCAUGCCAGGAAAACAGAGCUUAAUGCUGAACUGAUUCAGAGGAGAACGCUUGGGGUAAGGAGAAUGUGCAUCGUGUUUAAACAACUCAAAUUGUAACCUGUUCUGCACUCUACAUCCCCUGAUGUGCCACAGCUCGGUUUGCUCGCUUCAUGCAAGAAGGGUCUGGCUGAAGAGGCAGGAACAUGCAUCAUGGUCGCGCCCUCGCGGAGACCUGCAGAGGUGGCUGCAGCACAGGAAGCAAGCAGUGCGAAGGUGCGUGCCUUCAGGAAACCCGCAGUUUUCUUCAGGUCCACUGAGAUUUGUGCUGAACAACAGGCUUACAGAUGAAGAGGAGAGGAAUCUUUAUCAUGCAGCCUCAGAGCUCGCGCUGCCAGGAGCACACUGGCUCCAAGGAGGAAGAGCGUGCAUGUAAUGAAUAUAUACUGACCUUCUGAAGCUGGAUCUAGCAUGACUUUUUGCUAGCAUUUUUGUCUAAGAGAAAAAGUCACUUAAUGCGACUGCUUACUGCUUAAUGUUAUGUAAAGGACAAGCUGUUCCUAAAAUAAAACUUCCUCUACAGAAUAUAGUUGUACUGUG